CCGCUUCCGGGAAAGGCCGAGGUCUGUCGGGCCUAGCAGUUGCGCAUGCGCAGAAUACAGCGGCAGUUGCACGCCUGAGUCCGAGCUGCACGAGUGGGUCACGCCUCCUGGCACUUGCUAAGGAACAUGUGGGUGCGCGGGAAAGACCAGCCCUCUGGACUUGUUCUCUCAAGCCUUCCUGAGCUCCAGCCCACCUGCAGCCUAUAUUAAAGAAAAUGGAAAAUAAGUGGUCUAUGUCCAGUGAAAUCAAAUCAAAUAAAUGGUAAGGAGCCUAUUAAACUGAAAAAUAAUCUAAAAUUAGCUGAAAUUAAGCUACUUAGGGUUUAAGUUGGUGGUUAAACUUAAACCUUUGUGUUGGUUACUUUUCUCUUGUUGCUAGGACAAAAU
rnacentral:lncRNA from 1 species